ensembl:lncRNA
AUGGACCAGGCUUUUUAUCCACUGUAUGCUCAGGGUGGUAAUGAUGGACGCCCUUGUGCAUACCAGCCCGGGAGCAUCCAGCUCCAUGCUCCAUUUCCCCAGGUCCAGAAUCAGCACAACCAGCCUGUGGUCAUUGUUCAACCCUCUGCGAACAUGAGGCAAAAUCCACCGGCCGAGCCUGUGCCGGAUUACAUGUGUUACUCCAGAUUUACCACACUGUGCUGCUGUAUCUGCCUGGGACUUUGUGCUCUUUAUUACUCUAAAGAAACUCGCUCUGCUAAUGCUGCUGGACAGAGAAGAGAAGCCGCGAGAAACUCUCAAACUGCACUCAUCCUGAACCAUAUCUCUGUUGUUGUGGGAAUCAUCCUGAUUGGAGUAUAUCUCUUCAACGAAUUUUACCUAUCAUAUAUAUAAUGGAUCAUUAUCAAUAUACACUGAAAAAAAAAUUUCUCCAUACAUCCAAUUAAAAGAAUUUAAGGGUAAUAAUUCACAUCUAUAUUUACUAUACUUAUAUACCUUGAGCCAGUGAAAAAUAAAUAAAUUGCCCUUAAAGCA